rnacentral:misc_RNA from 1 species
UUUCCGUAGGUGAACCUGCGGAAGGAUCAUUAAAGAGUAAGGGUCUUCGGGCCCGAUCUCCAACCCUUUGUUUAACUACCAUGUUGCUUUGGCGGGCCCGUCUCACGACCGCCGGAAGUUUGGCUUCGACCAAACUUCUGGCCCGUGCCCGUCAGUGGCCCCUUCAAAUUCUUGAUCAAAUAUGAUGUCUUAGUUAAAAACUUAAUAGUUAAAACUUUCAACAACGGAUCUCUUGGUUCUG